rnacentral:lncRNA from 13 species
AUGGUUCCCGCUCUCCCCCCCCUUCCCCCGCGCCAGGGCCGCGGCCGGGCCCUUCUGCGGGCGUUGGGCGCGCACCGGAGCCAUCCCGGGCCUCCAUCUGCCCUCGGUCAGGGUCCGGCGGGGCCCCCCGGGACUGCUCGGGCGGGGCUGGGCGGAGGCGGGGCCCCCCCGGGGCCACAGCGGGGGCCCAGAGCGGCCUCGGGCCCCGCCGGGGUCGCCGCCCCCCGAGCCGGGCGGGGCGCGCAGCCCCCGGGCCCGGAUCGCACCCGGUGCCGUUCUUCUGUCCACGACUCCAACCCGCCGGGAUUUCGUCCCGUUUCCAGCAGGAUCGCUCCUAAAAUCAUCUCGGGGGGAGGGGUCCGGCCUGGCGGUGACCCCCUCCUGCACCGGGCUCGCUGUCCCCGGUGCGGGUACACCGCGCUGAGCUGCCGGUGCCCCGGGGGAGAAGGAGCUGCCGGCCCUGACCGGGGCCUCACCCCGUCCUCCCACGCUCCCCUCCCGUUACCUGCCCGCGGCACAGCCCCGGGAGUCGGGAAUUGCGGCACCUCCCUCCCGCCUGCCCUUGCGAAACCGGCCACGGUGGUUCCUCUUCCUCCCCCAGCGGAGCGGAGCCGCCCCGUCCCUCGCCACAAUCCCUGCGCCGUGCUGGGGGUUCGCUUCUCGGGGCUGCGACCCCAUCCCGACCCCGCGGUGUUCCCCAAAACCGGCUGCCGGAGAGGGAGGGAGAGCCGGGAUGCGCUGACCCCGCGGCUCCCCCGCCUCCCCUGCCGGGGCCCGUCCGGAGCCUUUUUAAGGCACAAAGGUGCUCAUUGUGCCGCCAGCAAAUCCCUAAUCCCACGCUGCUGCUGUGCCUGGCCUCGGAACGGUGGCGGUGGGCUCCGUGCCUCCGUUUCCCACCGGGAAUUGGGUUUGGAUCAGCCGCGGGAUGCGGACACAGCGCUCGGCAGGGAAACCACGUCGGGGGGCUUCUCCCGCGGCAAUCCCGGGGCUGUGCCCAUCCCGGUGGGAAGUGCGGAAGUUGGAGCCCGGUUCUUCCCUCGGGCUGGUCGCAGGGAUCCGCGCUGCCGGUCGGAGGCAGGACUGGGGCCCCUGUUAAUGAUCACCCGCUGA